rnacentral:rRNA from 1 species
AAUCAACGCUGGCGGCGCGCUUAACACAUGCAAGUCGAACGAGAAAGGGGAGCAAUCCCCGAGUACAGUGGCGUACGGGUGAGUAACACGUGGAUAAUCUGCCUCUUAGUGGGGAAUACCUCUGGGAAACCGGGAGACAAUACCGCAUAAGCUCGGAAGAGGAAACCUGGAAACGGGGCUGAGAGAGGAGUCCGCGGCCGAUUAGCUAGUUGGUAAGGUAAAGGCUUACCAAGGCAAAGAUCGGUAGCCGGCCUGAGAGGGCACACGGCCACACUGGCACUGAAACACGGGCCAGACUCCUACGGGAGGCAGCAGUGGGGAAUCUUGCACAAUGGGGGCAACCCUGAUGCAGCGACGCCGCGUGAGCGAUGAAGCCCUUCGGGUGU